UGGGGAAUAUUGGACAAUGGGCGAAAGCCUGAUCCAGCCAUGCCGCGUGUGUGAAGAAGGUCUUCGGAUUGUAAAGCACUUUAAGUUGGGAGGAAGGGCAUUAACCUAAUACGUUAGUGUUUUGACGUUACCGACAGAAUAAGCACCGGCUAACUCUGUGCCAGCAGCCGCGGUAAUACAGAGGGUGCAAGCGUUAAUCGGAAUUACUGGGCGUAAAGCGCGCGUAGGUGGUUUGUUAAGUUGGAUGUGAAAUCCCCGGGCUCAACCUGGGAACUGCAUUCAAAACUGACUAACUAGAGUAUGGUAGAGGGUGGUGGAAUUUCCUGUGUAGCGGUGAAAUGCGUAGAUAUAGGAAGGAACACCAGUGGCGAAGGCGACCACCUGGACUAAUACUGACACUGAGGUGCGAAAGCGUGGGGAGCAAACA
rnacentral:rRNA from 1 species